AGGUUUAUUCCAGAGCAAAUGAAAAAGAGCCUUGCUGUUGGUGGUUAGCUAAAGUGAGGAUGAUAAAGGGUGAGUUUUAUGUGAUAGAAUAUGCAGCAUGUGAUGCUACAUACAAUGAAAUUGUCACAAUUGAACGUCUACGAUCGGUUAAUCCCAACAAACCUGCCACGAAAGAUACUUUCCAUAAAAUCAAACUGGACGUGCCAGAAGACUUACGACAAAUGUGUGCCAAAGAAUCGGCACAUAAGGACUUUAAAAAGGCAGUUGGUGCCUUUUCUGUAACUUAUGAUCCAGAGAAUUAUCAGCUUGUCAUUUUGUCUAUCAAUGAAGUCACCUCGAAACGAGCGCACAUGCUAAUUGACAUGCACUUUCGGAGUCUGCGCACUAAGCUGUCUCUGAUACUGAGAAAUGAAGAAGCCAGUAAGCAGCUAGAGAGUUCAAGGCAACUUGCCUCAAGGUUUCAUGAACAAUUUAUCGUACGAGAAGAUCUGAUGGGUCUAGCAAUUGGUACUCAUGGUGCUAAUAUUCAGCAAGCUAGAAAAGUACCUGGGGUCACUGCUAUUGAUCUAGAUGAAGAUACCUGCACAUUUCAUAUUUAUGGAGAGGAUCAGGAUGCAGUGAAAAAGGCUAGAAGCUUUCUUGAAUUUGCUGAAGAUGUCAUACAGGUUCCAAGGAACUUAGUUGGCAAAGUAAUAGGAAAAAAUGGAAAACUGAUUCAGGAAAUUGUGGACAAGUCAGGAGUUGUGAGGGUGAGAAUUGAAGCCGAAAAUGAGAAAAGUGUUCCACAAGAAGAGGAAAUCAUGCCACCAAAUUCCCUACCUUCCAGUAACUCGAGGGUUGGACCUACUCCCUCUGAAGAAAAAAAACAUAUAGAUAUAAAGGAAAACAACACUCAUUUUUCUCAACCUAACAGUACAAAAGUCCAGAGGGUGUUAGUGGUUUCAUCAAUUGUAGCAGGGGAAUCCCAGAAACCUGAACUCAAGGCUUGGCAGGGUAUGGUACCAUUUGUUUUUGUGGGAACAAAGGACAGCAUUGCUAAUGCCACUGUUCUUCUGGAUUAUCACCUGAACUAUUUAAAGGAAGUAGACCAGUUGCGUUUGGAGAGAUUACAAAUUGAUGAGCAGUUGCGACAGAUUGGAGCUAGUUCUAGACCACCACCAAAUCGUACAGAUAAGGAAAAAGGCUAUGUGACUGAUGAUGGUCAAGGAAUGGGUCGAGGUAGUAGACCUUACAGAAAUAGGGGGCACGGCAGACGCGGUCCUGGAUAUACUUCAGCUCCAACAGAGGAAGAGAGAGAGGUAGUAGAGUUGAUAUUCUGGAGUGGGGGAGAGAGACACCUACUCCUAAGGCCAACCUUGAACCUAACCCCUAACCCCUCUCCCAACAGUCUGUUCUUUUUGCUGUUGAAGUCCCACCUCACCAUGGAGCUCUUUUCCCCAUCCCCCCUACAUCAUUAACCCACCCCCUCAUGCAUAAUGAGUUUAUCUUAAUAAUUCCUUUAUUAAUGAUAAAUUAUUUCAGUGGGAGUGGGAGGGAAGGUUGUGGACCAAGCAUCAGGCAAGCGUAUCCCCUUUCAGCUAAGUUCAAUCCCUGAUCCCACAAAAGACCCUUCCCUGAGACAGUUGCCAUGGUGGCCUUUGCCACCCUCUCAGAGGUGACCAAAAUAUAUAUAUGCAUUCCCCACUGUCCCUGGGCCAAACCUUGUUAAAAGGAACUCUCUUUAUAGAGGUUUGUUUAUCAAGGUAUUGCAUUUAACUGUUGUAGACAACUUUUCCUCCAGAGAGCGCAGAUGUUUAAAGGAGCACAGCUGUUUAAUGAUGUGGCAUACUCAGGUUUGAACUUAGAUGGCUGAUAAAAUACCUUUUAUUUUUUUUUUAAUGAGAACCAAAAACGUUUAAAACCAAAAUAACCUCAAAUAUUGUGAAACCCUUCAUUUUGAAUUUAAGAUAAUUUGUUUUACAAAAUGGAAGGUGAUAAUACUCUUUGGGCUUAUAAAUUGGGAAGAGUAUUGGAUUACCCCUGAAACGUCUCUGGAAGCUUCUGUUAACCUAACUUUUUUUUUAAGUCGGACAACGGUAUAUAACUUUUAACUCUCGAUAGGAACUAAUUCUGAAGCAUCAAAUGCUUCUGAAACAGAAUCUGACCACAGAGACGAACUCAGUGAUUGGUCAUUAGCUCCAACAGAGGAAGAGAGGGAGAACUUUCUACGCAGAGGAGACGGACGACGACGUGGCGGUGGAGGAAGAGGACAGGGAGGAAGAGGACGUGGAGGUGGCUUCAAAGGAAACGACGAUCACUCCCGAACAGAUAAUCGACCACGUAAUCCAAGAGAGGCUAAAGGAAGAACAGCAGAUGGAUCCCUCCAGAUCAGAGUUGACUGCAAUAAUGAAAGGAGUGUCCACACUAAAACAUUACAGAAUACCUCCAGUGAAGGUAAUCGGCUGCGCACGGGUAAAGAUCGUAACCAGAAGAAGGAAAAGCCAGACAGCAUGGAUGGUCAGCAACCACUUGUGAACGGAGUACCCUAAACUGCAUAAUUCUGAAGUUAUAUUUCCUAAACCAUUUCCAUAACUCUUAUUCCAUAUUAGAAAACUUUGUUAGGCCAAAGACAAAUAGUAGGCAAGAUGGCACAGGGCAUGAAAUGAAUACAAAUUGUUAAGAAUUUUAUUUUUUUGGUAUUGGCCAUAAGCAACAAUUUUCAAAUUUGCACAAAAAGAUCCAUUGAAAUUUUGAAACAUUGCGUUUAAGUACACUUUAGCACUUCAGGGCAGGAUUUUAGUUUGGUUUAUUUUUUAAAGUACUGAGCAGUGAUAUUUUUUGUUAAUUUGGACCAUUUUCCUGCAUCGGGUGAUAACUCGCCGGUACAUUUCAGUUUUUCUGAAUAAAUAGCAUUUUUGGUAAUUAUAUUACAAUUCCGUUUUCAAUCUCCUAUAGAAGUCCAUGAAAUACUAUGUCAUUUCAUGUCCUGUGUCAGUUUAUGUUUGGUCCACUUUUCCAGUAUUUUAGUGGACCCUGAGAUGUGUGUGAUGUGACGUUUGUCAUUUUCAUUAGCAAAAAAAAAAAAAGUUGUAUGAUCUGUGCCUUUUUUAUAUCUUGGCAGGUAGGAAUAUUAUAUUUGGAUGCAGAGUUCAGGGAAGAUAAGUUGGAAACACUAAAUGUUAAAGAUGUAGCAAACCCUGUCAAACAUUAGUACUUUAUAGAAGAAUGCAUGCUUUCCAUAUUUUUUUCCUUACAGAAACAUCAGGUUAGGCAGUAUAAAGAAUAGAACUUGUUUUUGUUUUUGUUUUGUUGCACUGAAGUUUGACAAAUAGUGUUAUCGAGAGGGAUGUGUAAUUUUUCUGUAUAGACAGGAGAAGAAAUAACUAUCUUUUCAUUUGAGAGAGGCUAAAAUGUUUUCAGCUAGGAACAAAUCUUCCUGGUCGAAAGUUAGUAGGAUAUGCCUGCUCUUUGGCCUGAUGACCAAUUUUAACUUAGAGCCUUUUUUAUUUUGUCCUCCCCAAGUUUUGUGAAGUUUUUCAUAUUUUAAUUUCAAGGGUAUUUGGGGGAGAUAGAAAGGUCAUUUUCAUGUGUGCAUAAUAAUCCUGUGAAGUACAGGUACUUUGUCUAAGAAACAUUGGAAGCAGGUUAAAUGUUUUGUAAGCUUUGAAGUAUUAGGUCUAAUGUAUAAGCGGAAUUGGAAAGCAGACUAGAAUUGGUUAACAAAUACUUCUUUUCUUUAGUUUUUUUUUUUCUUUUGUUUUUUGAUGUGUUGGGUUUUGGUUCUGUUUUUGAGUCUUUUUUAUGAAUGAAAUUUACUGAGGAAAAAUAUGUGAAGGACCUUCACUCUUAAGAUGUUAUAUUUUUCUUAAAAAAUAACUCCAAGUAGGGGUACCACUGAAUCUGUACAGAGCCGUGCAAACCGAAGUUCUGCCUCUGAUGUAUUUUGUGAGUUUGUUUCUUUGAAUUUUCAUUUUACAGUUACUUUUCCUUGCAUACAAAUAAGCAUAUAAAAAUGGCAACAAACUGCACAUGAUUUCAAGAAUAUUAAAAAGUCUUUUAAAAGUAUUGCCAAACAUUAAUGUUGAUUUUUAGUUAUUUAUUCUGGGAAUGUAUAGUAUUUGAAAACAGAAAUUGGUACCUUGCACACAUCAUCUGUAAGCUGUUUGGUUUAAAAUACUGUAGAUAAUUAACCAAGGUAGAAUGACCUUGUAAUGUAACUGCUCUUGGGCAAUAUUCUCUGUACAUAUUAGCGACAACAGAUUGGAUUUUAUGUUGACAUUUGUUUGGUUAUAGUGCAAUAUAUUUUGUAUGCAAGCAGUUUCAAUAAAGUUUGAUCUUCCUCUGCUAAAUUGAUGUUGAUGCAAUCCUUACAAAUGAUUGCUUUUAAAAUUUUAAGAUAGGAAAAGAAAUCUAUAGAAAGUGUUCUGUUACAAAAUGUAACUGUUACCACUGGAAGUUUCACAUGUCAUAGGAAGUUAGCUGUUAUCUACCAACUUUCAAGAACUUGAUCUUGUUUAAUAAGGUGGAAGAAAAUCAACAAAAUGGUACAAAAGCACAUUGUGCCAUUACAAUAUGCACUAAGUAUCUUUUUUUACAAAGGCUGAAUUCAGCAAGGCGCUAACUUGCUUAAAUGUGAAUUACUAACUUCUAAAACUGUAAUUUGAUUCACAUGUUUUCAAAUGGAGUUGGAGUUGAUUCGUAUUACAAUAUUUGUGUGCUAAACGUGUAUGUUUUUCAGUUCUAAGUCAUGAUGUUUUUAAAAUCUUAUUAAAGUUUCAAAAAUCUAAA